rnacentral:rRNA from 1 species
AUUGAACGCUGGCGGCAGGCCUAACACAUGCAAGUCGAACGAGUGGCGGACGUGUGAGUAAUGUCUGGGAAACUGCCUGAUGGCGGGGGAUAACUACUGGAAACGGUAGCUAAUACCGCAUACCAUCAGAUGUGCCCAGAUGGGAUUAGCUAGUUGGUGGGUUAACGGCUCACCAAGGCGCCGAUCCCUAGCUGGUCUGAGAGGGUGACCAGCCACACUGGAACUGAGACACGGUCCGUACUCCGACGGGAGGCAGCAGUGGUGAAUAUUGCACAAUGGGCGCAAGCCUGAUUCAGCCAUGCCGCGUGUAUGACGAAGGCCUUCGUGUUGUAAAGUACUUUCAGCGGGGAGGCGUUACCCGCAGAAGAAGCACCGGCUAACUCCGGGCCAGCAGCCGCGGUAAUUC